GGCGGCAGCACCGCCCGCCGCGCCGGCGGCGCCUGGCGGCCUCGUCCCUGGCGGCUCCCAGCGGUGCGCCGCGGGCGGAGCCCCAGGGCAGCUGCGUGCGAGACUAUCCCGUUUUAUUCCCGCAUGGAAAUUACAGUCCUGCCGCUUCACGAGCACGACUCCCCUUCAUCUUUUGGAGACCGUUUACUAUCAGGCAUGUUUUAAAGGAUUUAAGUCCCAUUUGAACAAUAAAAAGGAGUCUGGCUCAUCUACUGCCGGCAAUGGACACACCAAGAUGCGUAGAGGAAAUUGUUACAACAUUCACCUGGACUUUUUGGUUAAUUUUCCUUACCUGUUCUUUAGCACAGGUAUUAGUAAAGCAGGAAAAUACACACAAGUAUUUUCUUAAUAAAAGACUACAGGGUAUCAGAAUUUCCAGCUAUAGAAGAAGUGAAGUUUAUGAAGUUAUGGAAUGAAUGGCAUCAACUCUAAAAAGGAUGCUUAAAAAAAAAAAACUACACUGAAUAGUAAGUGGGAAAGCAGAUAAGCUUUAAAAAUCAGCAGGAACUAAAAUAAAAUGCAAGUAUUUGAAUUUUUUGUCUCCAAAAUCCUCCAUAUCAUUU